ensembl:lncRNA
ACUUUUUCAGGUUAAACAUGUGAUUUGAAAUUUUGAUCUUUAAUAUUAAUGCUGACCACUAGCAUGACAGAUAUGAGUAAAAAGAAAGUUCCAAGUUUAAUUUUCCAAAACUGAAUUUACCCAAAGGGAUGGGAAAACACACAGAAAAGAUCUCUCCCUGGGCAUCAUCUCUCCCAUCAUGUUGGCUGCCUUCAGGAGUCUGCUUCAUUGCAGCAAAAUGAAACAGAUCAGCACCAUAGUUACUGUUUUUUAAGUGACUUCCAAGAAUUUUCUUAUCAGGAUUAAAAUGAAGCAAAUUACAUAAUGCUAUGGAGCCUGGAUCCAGCAACUCUUGAGGCUGCCAGAAACAUCAGCUGUGGAAUACAGAUGGGCUGUAUUAGUGUAAGUUGCCAGUCCUUUUUUUAUAAAGAUAACCUUCAAAAUGCCUUCAACCUCACUGCUGCUGAAAGUCUGUCAAGGUGAGCUCUCUGACAGAAAUCAGAUUAGUCACUGCUCUUGCCUUUACUCAGAGCAGGCUGUGAAUCUUCAUAAAGUAUAAACAAGAUCCAUGGCCUGAAUCACAAUCCAGCCCCAGCAUCCUCAUGAAGUGGAGGAUCUGCGUGCUGCUCUGAAGAAGUGCCACCACAGGUGAGGUGAACCCUGUGAGGAGAUUUCUGGUGGCCUGCAAAAGCAGAGAGAGUAGAGAUCCCACUAGAUGUCCCUCUGCCCCUUUAUGCACUUGCAGAGUGUUGGCAUUAUGAACUGUCCCAGCUGUGCUCAGGUGCUGGACCUGGAAAAUGGGAUGGAUAGAUCCCUGUUACAUGGAGCUUAAGGAAGAAGCAAUGCAUAAACAGCUGGGAGAUGCUUGGAUACUGCAGCAAUGGAAUUCAUAAACAUUCCUGAAUGCGCCCAGUGUCUGAUGGCUGCCCAUGCAAAUAACUACACAUUACUCAAUUCUGCCACACUUCUUGCUCUCAAGAAUCUUACAAGGAAGGAGGAAGAGCCUCUGGUCCUAUAGAGGACAUCCUGAUGGGCCCUGAAACUCUCCAUGUGAUGCAGCCCUUCUGGGCUGACUAAAAGGGCUUUGAUGACUGCUGAUAUUUUCACCAUUUAACAAAGGUUUUAUGAAAAUCUGUUUCAACUUCUUGGCUGAUUAUGAAGAAUUUGUUGUGGUUACAGUUUGCAUAUUUGGUGCCCCCAAAGAUGUUUGCAAAGACCUUGUGAGUGUGUCUGUGUGUGCGUGUGUGUGUUACUUGCUACAACACGAAGAACUUGAAAAGUAAAUACAGUGAGAAAAAUCAGUACAUGACAUUCCUCAACACAAGUCACUGGAAAAUUGUUUGGAGGUUGUGUGUCAUGUACACAGAGGUUUCCACAGGUGUUCCCUAUAAACCCAAUUGAAAGUCCUUGUUUUACAAAGGCUCCUGUACUACCAGUCUCCAGUCCCAUGUGCUCAGACCCUCACAGUGGCAUGAGGCCAAUCAGGAUAUUUAUUUCACUACCAAAUUUUAGAGGAUGACUGAAUCAGUCCCAAAGUGCAGAGGCAUCUAAACCCCAUUGAAAAUACUGACAAUUAGACACUUAACCACUCAAAAGAAUUGGGUGUUUGGACAUUGUAUCGGAUGGAAGGGGGCACAAUAUUCACAUUCACAAACAGUAAAUUACAAAUUAUAGCUGACAUGGUUUUACCCUAGAAUUGGGAAUAAAUUAAUUUGCAAACUAGCAGGGACAAAACCCCCAAAUUAAUAAAUGAUGUUUGAAUCAGAUACAGUUACAGAACCAGGGUGAGGGAAGGGAUUCUGCCCCUCUGCCCCACUGUUGAGACCCCCCUGCAGGGCUGCACCCAGCCUGGGACAGCACAGGAAGGACAGGGAGCUGCUGGAGCCAGGGGACACCAAGGGAUCAGAGGGAUGGAGCAGCUCUGCUGGGAGGAAAGGCUGAGGGAAUUGGGGUUGUUCACCUGGAGAGGAGAAGGCUUUGGGGUGACCUCACUGUGGCCUUGCAGUGCCUGAAGGGAGCCACAGGAAAGAUGGAGAGAGACUCUUGACAAGGGCCUGGAGUGACAGGACAAGGGAGAAUGGCUCCAAAGUGAGACAGUGAGUAUAGAUUGGAUAUUGGGAAGAAAUUUUUCCCUGUGAGGGUGGUGAAGCUGUGGCACAGGUUUUCCAGAGAAACAACCAUCUUUUCAACAUGAUGCAGGCUUUAGACAAGAUGUUUUCUAUGAUAAUCAUCGCUUAUCUAAUUAAUUGCUUAAGGGACCCAUCUCUUGCUGGCAAUUUGAAAUCACCUGUUGUGCUUUCAAUAUCUGUUGAAAAAUAUUUGUAAGUGAACACAGUGCCAUUAUGAAAACUAAAUAACUUGCCUACUAAUACUUCAAACAAGGCUGUGUUACAUGCACUGUUCAUCUGUGGAAAAGCAGACUGAGGCCAGAGCUCACAGAAAUUCUGCAGUUUCCUCACAAGGGGAAGAGGAGGGGCAGGCACUGAUCAUUGCUCUGUGUGACAGGGACAGGACCCAGGGAACAGCUGGAGCUGUGUCAGGGCAGGGUUAGGGUGGGUAUCAGGAAAAGGUAUUGCUCUGUGUGACAGGGACAGGACCCAGGGAGGGGGGGGGGGGGGGGGGGGGGGGGGGGGGGGGGGGGGGGGGGGGGGGGGGGGGGGGGGGGGGGGGGGGGGGGGGGGGGGGGGGUAUCAGGAAAAGGUUCUUCCCCCAGAGGGUGGUGGACA